rnacentral:SRP_RNA from 1 species
GCUGGGCAUGGGGGUGCAUGCCUGUAAUCCCAGCUACUCAGGAGGCUGAGACGGGAGAAUUGCUUGAACCCAGGAGGCAGAGGUUGCAGUGAGCCGAGAUCGUGCCAUUGCACUCCAGCCUGGGUAACAAGAGCAAAACUCCGUCUCAA